AGUUUUAACGGGUAACGGGGAAUUAGGGUUCGAUUCCGGAGAGGGAGCCUGAGAAACGGCUACCACAUCCAAGGAAGGCAGCAGGCGCGCAAAUUACCCAAUCCCGACACGGGGAGGUAGUGACAAUAAAUAACAAUAUGGGGCUCUUACGAGUCUCGUAAUUGGAAUGAGUACAAUUUAAAUCUCUUAACGAGGAACAAUUGGAGGGCAAGUCUGGUGCCAGCAGCCGCGGUAAUUCCAGCUCCAAUAGCGUAUAUUAAAGUUGUUGCAGUUAAAAAGCUCGUAGUUGAAUUUCGGGAUUUAUCCGUCGGUCGGGCUUUUGGGUCUGUACUGGCGUGAUGGAUUCCUACCUUCUGAAUAACCGGCAUGUCAUUAAUUUGGUGCGCUGGGGAAGCAGGACUGUUACCUUGAAAAAAUUAGAGUGCUUAAAGCAGGCUAUUGCCUGAAUACAUUAGCAUGGAAUAAUGAAAUAGGACGGCAUGGUUCUAUUUUGUUGGUUUCUAGGAUCACCGUAAUGAUUAAUAGGGAUAGUUGGGGGCAUUAGUAUUCAAUUGUCAGAGGUGAAAUUCUUGGAUUUAUUGAAGACUAACUUCUGCGAAAGCAUUUGCCAAGGAUGUUUUCAUUAAUCAAGAACGAAAGUUAGGGGAUCGAAGACGAUCAGAUACCGUCGUAGUCUUAACCAUAAACUAUGCCGACUAGGGAUCGGACGAUGUUAAUUUUUUAAUGACUC
rnacentral:rRNA from 1 species